GACGAACGCUGGCGGCGUGCUUAACACAUGCAAGUCGAACGAAGUGGCGAACGGGUGAGUAACGCGUAAUCAACCUGCCCUUCAGAGGGGGAAAACAGUUGGAAACGACUGCUAAUACCGCAUACUGAAGGAGGGGAUUGCGUCUGAUUAGCUAGUUGGGGGGGUAAGGGCCAACCAAGGCGAUUAUCAGUAGCCGGUCUGCGAGGAUGACCGGCCACAGUGGAACUGAGACACGGCCCAGAAUCCUACGGGAGGCAGCAGUGGGGAAUCUUCCGCAAUGGACGAAAGUCUGACCGAGCAACGCCGCGUGAGUGAAGAAGGUUUUCGGAUCGUAAAACUCUGUUGUUAGAGAAGCGGUAUCUAACCAGAAAGCCACGGCUAACUACGUGCCAGCAGCCGCGGUAAUUC
rnacentral:rRNA from 1 species